UKMWUACAAGGUAUUGAAUAAGAUUUUAAUUGAAUGCUAAGAGAAUGGAAGUCCAGAAAAAAACUUUUUUUAAAUUAAAAAUUGAAGUUUUUUUAAUUUGUGCAGAAACAAUUAUUUAUAUUAAAGACAAGAAGACCCUAUGAAUUUAUUAAAUUUUUAUUUAAUAUGUAAUUACUAUUAGAAAAAUUUUGGCUGGGGCGGCUAGAAAAUAUUAUGAACUUUUUAAAAAUAAAAUGAUCCAUUAUUAAUGAUUUUAUGUUAAAUACUCUAGGGAUAACAGCGUUAUAUUUUUUGAUAGAUCAUAUUGACAAAAAAGUUUGCGACCUCGAUGUUGGAUUAGGAUACUUUUUUAAUGAAGAUAUUAAAAAAAGAAGUUUGUUCAACUUUUAAUUUCCUACUUGAUCUGKUCAACCGGACA
rnacentral:rRNA from 1 species